GUUAGGAAUAUUGGACAAUGGGCGCAAGCCUGAUCCAGCCAUGCCGCGUGAGUGAUGAAGGCCUUCGGGUUGUAAAGCUCUUUAGCCGAUGAUUAUAAUGACUGUAGUCGGAAAAUAAGCCCCGGCUAACUUCGUGCCAGCAGCCGCGGUAAUACGAAGGGGGCGAGCGUUAUCCGGAAUCACUGGGCGUAAAGCGUGCGUAGGCGGCUUUGCAAGUUGGGAGUAAAAGCCCAGGGCUCAACCCUGGAAUUGCUCUCAAAACUGCAAGGCUGGAAUUCGGGAGAGGAUAGCGGAAUUGUCAGUGUAGCAGUGAAAUGCGUAGAUAUUGACAGGAACACCAGUGGCGUAAGCGGCUAUCUGGACCGAUAUUGACGCUGAGGCACGAAAGCGUGGGGAUCAAACAGGAUUAGAAACCCGGGUAGUCC
rnacentral:rRNA from 1 species